CAGAUCCAGUUCUGGCUGCAUCUAUAAUUCAGAUUUUUAAAUCUCCAUGGCCCUGAAGUCUCUGUUUGUCAGCAUCAGUCACAUAACUUGGAAGAUGGGACAGGAUUUGCCACAGAGUAAUUACAGAGCCCUUCCAACAGAACAGGAGCAACGUUGCAGAAAGUGUCCUCAUGUGGUGACCGCCAGCAUUGGUACAGCAAUUAAUGCCAAACUUACUGAAAUUAGAGCGAAGAAAACACAAAAACAUCUGAAAACCUUAAUGGUCUUUGAUGAUUGAUAGCCGUGAUAGUGUGUUCAAGGUAUUUUGUUGUUGUUGUUGGGGUGUGUGUGUGUGUGUGUGUGUUUUGCCUUCGCAAAGUUCAGUUUGAUAUCAAGUUGUAAUUUUAAAUUAUUCUUGUGGAGUAUAAUUUGAUUCUCUUUGAUUGUGUUGAAAUAAAAGUAUUUCUAAUGUAAA